UCGCUGGCAGGAGGUCACGGGACAGACCCAGGUGCCAUGGGUUGAUUGAGACGGCUGGCAGAUACACCACCUGUGUCCCCUACCUCGCCAACCUGCAGCAUUUAUGCGCCCGCCCUCCGCUGUUGUUGUUGAAGGGCGACUGCCUCCAACUGCCCAGCAGGGUCCUUCACGAGCCUCCUCCCUGCUCCUCCUCCACAGAGGCCGAUCCUGACACCGCUGGGUGCCGUGCUGUUGCUUGCACAGGAGACUCGCCACGACCUCGCCUCCGAGAUCUGCCCUCCGAAGUUCCCCACCAUCCUUCUCUUACACGGCAGUGAGGAGAGGAGCCUUGAGACUCAUCGAGACUCUUGUGAAGCCUUGAGACUCACUGAGAUUUUUCUGAAACUUUGAGACUCAUUGAGACUUUUAUGAAACCUUGGGACUCAUUGAGACUUUUCUGAAGCCUUGGGCCUCAUUAAGACUUUUCUGAAACUUUGAGACUCAUUGAUAAUUUUCUGAAGCCUUGGGACUCAUUGAGACUUUUUUGAAACAUUGAGACUCAUUGAGACUUUCUGAAACAUUGAGACUCAUUGAUAAUUUUCUGAAGCCUUGGGACUCAUUGAGACUUUUCUGAAGCCUUGGGACUCAUUGAGACUUUUCUGAAACUUUGAGACUCAUUGAGACUUUUCUGAAACUUUGAGACUCAUUGAGAAUUUUCUGAAGCCUUGGGACUCAUUGAGACUUUUUUGAAACAUUGAGACUCAUUGAGACUUUUCUGAAACUUUGAGACUCAUUGAGAAUUUUCUGAAGCCUUGGGACUCAUUGAGACUUUUCUGAAGCCUUGGGACUCAUUGAGACUUUUUUGAAACAUUGAAACUCCUUGAGACUUCUCUGAAACCUUCAGACUCACGGAGACUUUUACGAGGCCUUGGGACGCACUGAGAGUGGGUAAACAAAAGAGCAUUGUUGUUUUUUGUUGUUGCUGCCGCUGCUGUUGUUGCUGCUGCGCAUAAAUCCGCAUUGUACGAUGCUUGCAAUAGAAGAUGAGAUUAAAAAAAAACGACGUGGUUCUCGCCAGGGGCGAAUUCCACCUUCACAACAGCAGCAACGACGACGACGAGGACAACAAAAAGCGCAUUCAGACCUGGCGGUUGAAUCG